rnacentral:rRNA from 1 species
UACAGAGGUCUCAACCGUUGUUCGGAUUCAUUGGGCGUAAAGGGUGCGUAGGCGGUCGGGUAAGUCGGAUGUGAAAUCCCAGGGCUCAACCCUGGAACUGCAUUCGAUACUGCCUGGCUAGGGUACUGGAGAGGAGACUGGAAUUUACGGUGUAGCAGUGAAAUGCGUAGAUAUCGGAAGGAACGCCGGUGGCGAAGGCGGGUCUCUGGGCCGAUACUGACGCUGAGGAGCGAAAGCGUGGGGAGCGAACAGG